UAUUGGGAUAAAGAACAUGAGUGAGGUGGUACUCAUACUAUGACAAAAAUGCUUAGGGGGUACUCAAGACGAAAAAGGUUGGGAGACACUGAUGUAUGCCCAGAUCAUGUACGCCCAGAGCAAAGUCACAGGCAGUGUGCUUCUCUUGCAUUCACAGACUGCCCAUGCUUUUUUAAAGAGAUAAGUUAGAAUGCUUUGCAUAUCUAUUUGUGUAGAGUUAAUCACCAAGACAAUUUCCAGAAGUUGUAUCCAGGUGUCAAUUGUGUCCUUGUUCUGGUGUUGUUAUUUUCAAACAGAGAUGGCUCUUGCUCACUGGCAGUGACUUGGGUCAUGUGAGACAGCAUCAGAGCUCGGGUGACAUCUCUCGCUCGGGUGAAAUCUCUCCUGGAAGAUUUCAAGGUGUGUGCAGAGUUCUGAAGAAUAAAAGUCAACAGUCAAGUUCUUCUCCAUAUUCUCCAAAUCUGACGGAGGCGUUCCAUCAGGAAAGGGGGAAUGGUUGGUCGAUGCCUCCAGAAUAAUGAUACCCAUGACCCAGGCACAACAUGCUGACAGGGAAUCGGCUAUGGCAGAAAGCAUCCAUGCCAUCUACGUGAUCCGCCAUGAAGGUUCAGAAGCUACUGACAUUUGGCUGCAUUUGGCUGCUUGCCAAACAUCCUACCCAGGCUCCGCCCUCGCAGUGACGCAACACCUUCGGCUCUGCUACACACACUCAGGAAAACUUUGUUCAGGUACUUUCGGGUUCCCUCCACAGCAGGAAACUCCACCCACUUUGUCGGGAAGCAAUCGACUUUCAGCAUCACCAACCGUCCUGGCUAGAGGCGUGUUCAAGGAAGUGACAAGGUUUGAGCAGAGACGCUCUAUUGGGACUAAGAAAAUGUUUGGUUUAAACUUUGGCUCAGCCUGUUCAGCCCUCGACCAGUAGCAAAUCAUGAGAGUUGGGUCAACCAUGCCGUUUGAGAAUGUUGUUAUGCUCUUGGUCAGACCAAGUCUCGAAGAGAUUUGUAAGUCAUGAUAAUCAGGUUACAAAUAUUCACUUACAGUGGCCAUAUUUCUUGCCCUUGUUUACGCACUAAACUUGUUAUCCUCCUUGAAAGUUGUGUGUGUGUGUGAGUAAUAAUGCAGACAUAAUAAUAACAAUUGACUAGAAGUACAAAUACACAUUUCUACAUUAUUGCUCACACACAGCUUUUGGUAAAACAUUACUGAAAUGGCCAAACACCUUUUAUGCAUUUUUUAAUAAAGAGUCAUUGCAUUGAGCAGAUCAUUGAGAGGCUCUGAAGUCCACUACACUAUUCUUAACUUGUGUGCGUGCGUACCUCCUCAAGCACAUAUACAGCACUCUAUUUUUAACAUUUUUUAGAAAUGUUUUUCUUUUUUUUUGACUUAACAACCUGUUAAAAACACAGCGUUAAACUUUGGCUUUUUUCGCACACCUCAGCUGGCAGGUGCGUCGGAGAUGGCACCAUGGGUCACUCAGCAAUAGUUUAAAGAAACUCCCGCACACUGACCA